rnacentral:rRNA from 1 species
UGGGGAAUCUUGCGCAAUGGGCGAAAGCCUGACGCAGCGACGCCGCGUGAGUGAUGAAGGCCUUCGGUUGUAAAGCUCUGUGGGAGGAAGCGGUACCUCCUUAGCAAGCACCGGCUAACUCUGUGCCAGCAGCCGCGGUAAGACAGAGGGUGCAAACGUUGUUCGGAAUUACUGGGCGUAAAGCGUGUGUAGGCGGUGAGGUAAGUCGGAUGUGAAAGCCCAGGGCUCAACCCUGGAAGUGCAUUCGAUACUGCUUCGCUUGAGUACUGGAGAGGUUGGUGGAAUUCUCGGUGUAGAGGUGAAAUUCGUAGAUAUCGAGAGGAACAUCUGUGGCGAAGGCGGCCAACUGGACAGAUACUGACGCUGAGACGCGAAAGUGUGGGGAGCAAACAGGAUUGGAUACCCGUGUAGU